GAUGAACGCUAGCGGCAGGCCUAAUACAUGCAAGUCGAACGGAUAUAUGUUUUUCGGAAUAUAUAUUAGUGGCGCACGGGUGAGUAACACGUACAUAACUUGCCCUCAAGCGGGGGAUAGCCUUGGGAAACUGAGAGUAAUACCCCAUAGAAUUAUUGGACGGCAUCGUUUGAUAAUUAAAACUACGGUGUUUGGGGAUAGAUGUGCGUCUGAUUAGCUAGUUGGUGAGGUAACUGCUCACCAAGGCGACGAUCAGUAGGGGGCGUGAGAGCGUGGCCCCCCACACGGGUACUGAGACACGGACCCGACUCCUACGGGAGGCAGCAGUAAGGAAUAUUGGUCAAUGGAGGGAACUCUGAACCAGCCAUGCGCGUGAAGGAUGACGGCCCUCUGGGUUGUAAACUUCUUUUGGAUGGGGCGAAAAAACGGGAUUUAUCCUGGACUGACGGUACCAUCAGAAUAAGCACCGGCUAACUCCGUG
rnacentral:rRNA from 1 species